GCAUUGGUGGUUCAGUGGUAGAAUUCUAGCUUGCCAUGUUGGAGGCCUGGGUUUGAUUCCCAGCCAAUGCA
rnacentral:tRNA from 1 species